rnacentral:piRNA from 1 species
UCCGAAUGAAAAUGGUUUCGGCGUUGCU